CGGAUACAUAUACGCUAGGCGUUACAAUC
rnacentral:sRNA from 1 species